AAUAGAUACCCGGGUAGUCCACGCCCUAAACGAUGGAUGCUAGGUUUGCGGGGUAUCGACCCCCUGUGAGCCGUAGGUAACCCGUUAAGCAUCCCGCCUGGGGACUACGACCGCAAGGUUAAAACUCAAAGGAAUUGACGGGGGCCCGCACAAGCAGCGGAGCGUGUGGUUUAAUUCGAUGCUAAGCGAAGAACCUUACCAGGGCUUGACAUGUAAGUGGUACUGAGUCGAAAGAUGAGGGACCCGCAAGGGAGCUUACACAGGUGCUGCAUGGUUGUCGUCAGCUCGUGCCGUGAGGUGUUGGGUUAAGUCCCGCAACGAGCGCAACCCUUGUCGCUAGUUAAAUUCUCUAGCGGGACUGCCCCUAAAAGGGAGGAAGGGAGGGGAUGAUGUCAAAUCAUCAUGGCUUCUUACGUCCGUGGGCUACACACACGCUACAAUGGCCAGUACAGACGGUUGCUAAAUCGCGAGAUGGAGCCAAUCCGAUAAAGCUGGUCUCAGUUGGGAUUGCAGGCUGAAACCCGCCUGCAUGAACGUGG
rnacentral:rRNA from 1 species